AUUGAACGCUGGCGGCAUGCCCUUACACAUGCAAGUCGAACGGCAGCACGGGAGCAAUCCUGGUGGCGAGUGGCGAACGGGUGAGUAAUAUAUCGGAACGUGCCCAGUCGUGGGGAUAACGUAGCGAAAGCUACGCUAAUACCGCAUACGAUCUACGGAUGAAAGCGGGGGAUCGCAAGACCUCGCGCGAUUGGAGCGGCCGAUAUCAGAUUAGGUAGUUGGUGAGGUAAAGGCUCACCAAGCCGACGAUCUGUAGCUGGUCUGAGAGGACGACCAGCCACACUGGGACUGAGACACGGCCCAGACUCCUACGGGAGGCAGCAGUGGGGAAUAUUGGACAAUGGGCGCAAGCCUGAUCCAGCCAUGCCGCGUGUGUGAAGAAGGCCU
rnacentral:rRNA from 1 species